AGCGAACGCUGGCGGCAGGCUUAACACAUGCAAGUCGAGCGGGCACUUUCGGGUGUCAGCGGCGGACGGGUGAGUAACGCGUGGGAACGUGCCCUCUGGUUCGGAAUAACUCAGGGAAACUUGAGCUAAUACCGGAUACGCCCUUUUGGGGAAAGGCUUGCUGCCGGAGGAUCGGCCCGCGUCUGAUUAGCUAGUUGGUGAGGUAACGGCUCACCAAGGCGACGAUCAGUAGCUGGUCUGAGAGGAUGAUCAGCCACACUGGGACUGAGACACGGCCCAGACCCCUAGGGGGGGAAGCGGGGGGGAAUAUUGGAAAAGGGGGGCAGGCUGGACCCGGCCGUGCCGGGGGAGGGAGAAGGGCUUUGGGGUUGAAAAGUUUUUUUCUCGGGGAGGAAAAUGAGGGAACGGGAGAAAUAAGCCCCGGCAACUUUGGUC
rnacentral:rRNA from 1 species